CAUUGUUUUGAAACUGAAGAAAAAUUGUAUGAGUUUAAAAGCUUGCACAGUUCCCAUCUCUGAGCCAGUGAAUGGAACAGAACAAGUGUGAUCAACCAAGGUCGUAUUCACAAGGAACGAAAUGGAAGCAAACGGACCGAAACUGAGGGACUACCUGAACUUUGUCCAAUAAGAAAAGCUUGUUUUCGCAUGCUGUUGCAAAACGUUUUGCCACGUGUGCACUAAUGAAUACGACCCCCCCCCCAAGUCACUCGGCAGUAUGAGGCCUGUCAACACUGACCCAACCAAUCAUCAGUUAAAACCUUUUCUGUUUUUUGGGUCGUUCAUUUGUUCUUAAAGGGAUUUACACUGCUGUUUUUUGUUCUUUUUGUAUAUCCAGGCGCGUUUUUAUAUCUAUCGCAACAUAAACAGAGAUUAUUACACAUUGACCGACCUAGCUGCGUCUGUUUUAUGUGUGCUUGAGUAUAUGUCCGAUGGAACCUAAUCAUUCACGUCUGGGAGUUCAGAUUACCACUGCUCAGAAGAACUAUGACUUCAGCUAUACUCACCUAACGGGACUUACAGGUCGCCCCCUUGACCCCACCCCCUAAGAAAAACUAUUGCGGAGAGGAGCGAGGAUGGUGUUACUAUUAUAACUGUGCAUUCAGAAACGGUCCCUGCAGCCCUGAAACUCCUCAUUGAUCUGGGUUACAUGAGAAAGCACCAUCAGAAAGCCCUUCCUCUCCGCGUUGCCACAGCCACACCGAACAGACUGAGGGGAGUCACUGGAGGGGCACAAUACCAAAUAAGAGGGGUUUCUCCUAAUGCAGUAGAUCUACUACGAGUGUUCCUUGUAAUUGGUACUGUACAAAAAAUGUAAAAGAGAGACUAACCUUUUGUCCAUUUGAAAGGGUUUUAUCAUAGCACUUAUAAAGAGAGCUAAACGCUUCAACUUGCAAACCAGUAAAUCAGAAAAAUGGAGCAGCAACUUUGAAAACUGAAAAAAG
rnacentral:lncRNA from 1 species